CGACUGCUAAAAUUCUUUGAUGAAAGGCAUGGAGGAUUGUCAGGUUAAAGACUCACUGGAGAAGUGGUGCACAGCACUGAACACCUGGCUCAUCAGGUCAUCUGGCUGGAAGUGGAACCCUGAACAGCCGCUGAAGGACAGACCAGAGUUCAGAGGGUGGGGAGCUUUCUCAGUGUACUGCAUCAGUGGCUCAACUAACACAAAAAAUAAAAUGGCAUGAGAUCGCCUUUAAAAACUGCUGAAUAAAAUUCAUCAGGGC
rnacentral:lncRNA from 1 species